rnacentral:rRNA from 1 species
UACGGAGGGUGCAAGCGUUAUCCGGAUUCACUGGGUUUAAAGGGUGCGUAGGCGGUCGGAUAAGUCUGAUGUGAAAUCUUCGAGCUCAACUCGGAAACUGCAUCGGAAACUAUUCGGCUAGAGGAUUGGAGGGGAGACUGGAAUUCUCGGUGUAGCAGUGAAAUGCGUAGAUAUCGAGAGGAACACCAGUGGCGAAGGCGAGUCUCUGGACAAUUCCUGACGCUGAGGCACGAAAGCUAGGGGAGCAAACAGG